UUUUAUGGAGAGUUUGAUCCUGGCUCAGAGUGAACGCUGGCGGCGUGCCUAAUACAUGCAAGUCGAACGAUGAAGCUUUUAGCUUGCUAGAAGUGGAUUAGUGGCGCACGGGUGAGUAAGGUAUAGUUAAUCUGCCCUACACAAG
rnacentral:rRNA from 1 species